GGUCCAGUCACUUAUGAAGUUUUUGUAAUGAAAGGAGGAGAUGGAGAUUGUGCAGGUAUCCAAUUAAAACCUAAUGAUGGUACUGACUUAUAUCCCACAAACAGAACAAUUUGCAACUACGACCUCACUUCCGACAUGCUAACCAUCAAUAAAAGCUUUACCCUUAAAUUGUUUAUCAACAACACGCUAGCAACCGGGGUGGAUACUACUGUACUUAUUGUACUUAGUUCAAAAGAAGGGGGUGGGUCAAUGGGAAUAAUAAUAGGAGCUGUAGUAGGCGUUGUUGCCGUAGCAGGUGUUGGAGUUGGUGGAUUCUUCUUACACAAGAUGUUGAAAAAGCCUGUAGGUACGUCACCAACUAAGUCGAAGUAAAAGACCCAGGUUGCGGUAUCUAUGGACAACAGACCAACCCAUCAUUAUUGAACUGUAAUUGGUUUAUUUUCCAUGAAUUGUAAUCAAAGUAAAAUAGCAGCAUAAGAUAACCGACCCACCAAUUAUUAGAAGAAUAAUG